UUGCAGGUUUGAUUUUCUGUG
ensembl:piRNA 21ur-3710 ncRNA